ACCUAGUCCCAAUCCUGAAGUCAAUUAUUACUUAACUUACACAUGCAAGUCUCCGCACCCCUGUGAAAACGCCCUCAAUCCCCUCCUAGGACUGAUGGAGCAGGUAUCAGAUUAACUUAUUUUUCCAAAACACCUAGCCCCGCCACACCCAUAAGGGCCCCUGCAGCAGUGACUAACAUUGAACAUAAGCGACAGCUUGAUUCAGUUAAAGUAUACCGGGCUGGCAAAGCUAGUGCCAGUCGCCUCGGUUAAACUACAUCAGCCCAAAUUGACCUCACUCGGCGUAAAGCGUGAUUAAAUUCCAUACCCAAUAGAGCUAAAACUUACCUUCUAAUUAUAAAAUCAACCACGAAAGUUACUCUACCUAACCCAACCUCACGACAACUAGGACUCAAACUGAGAUUAGAUACCUCACUAUGCCUAAUCGUAAACUAUUACUUACACCACAAUCGCCAGGGAACUACGAGCAAAGCUUAAAACCCAAGGGACUUGACGGUGCCCCACAGCCCCUAGAGGAGCCUGUCCUAUAAUCGAUAACCCGCGUUAAACCUCACCAUUUCUAGUUUUCAACCCGUAUACCUCCGUCGCCAGCUGUCCAUUUGAAUGAAACGAAGCAAAGCUAAAUGUCCACACAAACACCCGCCAUCCCUAGAUUACAUUAUCUUAAUAGACCAUACGUCAGGUCAAGGUGCCGUCAAUGAAAUGGAAAGAGAUGGGCUACACUUUCUAAUAUAGAAAAACGAAAGACGUUAUGAAAUUUAUAUCAGAAGCCGGAUUUAGGAGUAAAAGGAUUAUAGAACGGUCCUCUGAACCCACCUAUUGGGGUCGCGUACUCACCGCC
rnacentral:ncRNA from 1 species